AUAGGUGUGAAUGCGUGUACACUCUGGAUCAUGAGGCAAAAGAAAUGUUUGUUAAAUUUCAUGAUGAAAUGAUAAACAUUAGGGAUAACCUUCAAUACGACUCUAUAAACCACAGUGUUGCAAAUGUUGCAGGCUUGAUGGAGAAUGUGCUUGGCAAGGGGGUGUAGGGCGUGGAACACUUGGCAGCGGAGGGGCAGGCAAACCGUGACUGACUCCUUCCAGGCUGAAUCCAGGCCGAGUUCAAACCACUGCCUGAGUCUGGCUUUUUUAUCCAAUAGGCUCUUGCCAGCACAAUCUCACCAUAUGAAUCAGGGGUGAAAUUUUGAUCCAUCUCCAACCAAUUCUAAAAUAAGAAAAAAGGCAGUAUCUCUUAGGCAAUAUAUCAACAUACAAUCAAACCAUUCCAAUUCAUUUUUAAAUUCUUUAUUAUUUCUCUUCAAUCUCUCUGAAAAUGUACUUUCUCCUUCUAAGUCGAUUCUCCAGAAUAGAAAAAAGAAUUGUAAAAAGGGAUUAAUAUUCCUAGUUUAAAGAUUUUGAUGUUUCUUUGUGAAGAUAUAAUAUCCCUGUACAACCUAGAAAAAAGAGAAAAUGUUAAUAAAUUCAUACUGUAUCA